rnacentral:rRNA from 1 species
UACGAAGGGGGCUAGCGUUGUUCGGAAUUACUGGGCGUAAAGCGCUCGUAGGCGGAUUUGUAAGUCAGGGGUGAAAUCCCGGGGCUCAACCUCGGAACUGCCUUUGAUACUGCAAGUCUCGAGUCCGAUAGAGGUGAGUGGAAUUCCUAGUGUAGAGGUGAAAUUCGUAGAUAUUAGGAAGAACACCAGUGGCGAAGGCGGCUCACUGGAUCGGUACUGACGCUGAGGUGCGAAAGCGUGGGGAGCAAACAGG